UUCAUGGAGAGUUUGAUCCUGGCUCAGGACGAACGCUGGCGGCGUGCUUAACACAUGCAAGUCGAACGGAAAGGCCCUUCGGGGUACUCGAGUGGCGAACGGGUGAGUAACACGUGGGUGAUCUGCCUCGUACUUUGGGAUAAGCCUGGGAAACUGGGUCUAAUACCGAAUAUGACCUCUGGAUGCAUGUCUGGUGGUGGAAAGUUUUUCGGUACGAGAUGGGCCCGCGGCCUA
rnacentral:rRNA from 1 species